rnacentral:lncRNA from 1 species
CUUUGAAAAACAAGACAUUUUUGACGAUUGAGAUGAAGAAAAACAGAUAUUUAUCAUGGUAUCAUUAGUAGAGUGAACUGGGCCAAUUGCAGAAGUGGAAUUAAGAGACUCAACAUUUAUGCAAAUACCUGCAUUGAUUCAAUAGUCUCGAAGCAUACCCCAGGAGAAGCUGAGGCACCCUGUUGAAAUUGAGCAAAGGGAACUAAUUUGAGCUAUCCAAUUGUACAACACUUCUGAGCUGCAGUUUGUGAAGCCUACAGUAAUUUAACACAUGUCAUGGAGCACUUAGAGUUGUAAUAAAAAUCCUGUUUAUUACCA